rnacentral:rRNA from 1 species
CCCUUAGAUGUUCUGGGCCGCACGCGCGCUACACUGAUGCAUUCAACGAGCCUAGCCUUGACCGAGAGGUCCGGGUAAUCUUUGAAACUGCAUCGUGAUGGGGCUAGAUUAUUGCAAUUAUUAAUCUUCAACGAGGAAUGCCUAGUAAGCGUGAUUCAUCAAAUCGCGUUGAUUACGUCCCUGCCCUUUGUACACACCGCCCGUCGCUCCUACCGAUUGAGUGUGUUGGUGAGGAGUUCGGAUUGGCUCUUAGUGGUGGUUCGCCACCACCUAGGGCUGAGAAGUUCUCCAAACCGCCCCACUUAGAGGAAGGAGAAGUCGUAACA